UGCGAAAGGUGCUAGCGUUGUUCGGAAUUACUGGGCGUAAAGCGCACGUAGGCGGCCUUGUAAGAUGGGGGUGAAAUCCCCGGGCUCAACCCGGGAACUGCCUUCAUGACUGCAAAGCUAGAGGAUGCGAGAGGUUAGCUGAAUUCCGAGUGUAGAGGUGAAAUUCGUAGAUAUUCGGAAGAACACCAGUGGCGAAGGCGGCUAACUGGCGCAUUUCUGACGCUGAGGUGCGAAAGCGUGGGGAGCAAACAGG
rnacentral:rRNA from 1 species